ensembl:snRNA U6 U6 spliceosomal RNA
GUGCUCCCUUCAGCAGCACAAAUACUAACAUUGGAAAGAUACGGAAAAGAUUACCAUGACCACUGUGCAAGGAUGACACAGGAGUUCAUGAUGCUGAAUAAGGUAUU